rnacentral:rRNA from 1 species
CAGUAGCCGCGGGAAUACGUAGGGUGCAAGCGUUAAUCGGAAUUACUGGGCGUAAAGCGUGCGCAGGCGGUGUUGUAAGACUGAUGUGAAAUCCCCGGGCUCAACCUGGGAACUGCAUUGGUGACUGCAGCGCUGGAGUGCGGCAGAGGGGGAUGGAAUUCCGCGUGUAGCAGUGAAAUGCGUAGAUAUGCGGAGGAACACCGAUGGCGAAGGCAAUCCCCUGGGCCUGCACUGACGCUCAUGCACGAAAGCGUGGGGAGCAAACAGGAUUAGAUACCCCUGUAGUCCCUGUCUCUUAUAA